AGAGUUUGAUCAUGGCUCAGGAUGAACGCUAGCGGCAGGCCUAAUACAUGCAAGUCGAACGGUAACAUUGGUGCUUGCACCAGAUGACGAGUGGCGCACGGGUGCGUAACGCGUAUGCAACCUACCUUUUACUAGAGUAUAGCCCAGAGAAAUUUGGAUUAAUCCUCUAUAACAUCUUUAAGUUUCAUAAUUUUUAGAUUAAAGUUUUAAUGGUAAAAGAUGGGCAUGCGUCCUGUUAGUUUGUAGGUGAGGUAACGGCUCACCUAGACUACGAUAGGUAGGGGCCCUGAGAGGGGGAUCCCCCACACUGGUACUGAGACACGGACCAGACUCCUACGGGAGGCAGCAGUAAGGAAUAUUGGACAAUGGACGAAAGUCUGAUCCAGCCAUGCCGCGUGCAGGAUGAAAGCCCUAUGGGUUGUAAACUGCUUUUAUACAGGAAGAAACACUCCGACGUGUCGGAGCUUGACGGUACUGUAAGAAUAAGGAUCGGCUAACUCCGUGCCAGCAGCCGCGGUAAUACGGAGGAUCCAAGCGUUAUCCGGAAUCAUUGGGUUUAAAGGGUCCGCAGGCGGUCUUUUAAGUCAGAGGUGAAAGCCUACAGCUCAACUGUAGAACGGCCUUUGAUACUGAAAGACUUGAGUUAUUGUGAAGUGAUUAGAAUGUGUGGUGUAGCGGUGAAAUGCAUAGAUAUCACACAGAAUA
rnacentral:rRNA from 1 species